rnacentral:rRNA from 1 species
AUUGAACGCUGGCGGCAUGCUUUACACAUGCAAGUCGAACGGCGGCGCGGGCUUCGGCCUGGCGGCUAGUGGCGAACGGGUGAGUAAUACAUCAGACCGAGCCAAGCAGUGGGGGAUAGCUCGGCGAAAGCCGGAUUAAUACCGCAUAAGACCUGAGGAUAAAAGCGGGGGAUCUUCGGACCUCGCGCGAUUUUAGCGGCUGAUGGCAGAUUAGCUAGUUGGUGGGGUAAAGGCCUACCAAGCCGACGAUCCGUAGCUUGGCUGCGAGGACGACCAGCCACACCAGGACUGAGACGCGGCCCAGACUCCUACGGGAGGCAGCAGUGGGGAAUUUUGGACAAUGGGCGAAAGCCUGAUCCAGCAAUGCCGCGUGUGUUAUGAAGGGCUUCGGGUUGUAAAGCACUUUUGGCGGGAACGAAAAGGACUGUGCCAAUACCGCGGUUCGAUGACGGUACCCUCAGAAUAAGCACCGGCUAACUACGUG